GGGAGAUACAUAUAAUUAGAGAAUAUGCAGAUACAUCUUCAAUUUCUUUAUUUAUCAAAUCAUGGAUGUCAUGUGGCCAGUACGUGUAACACAACUAGGCAUAUACUAUAAUAGAAAGAGGUUGUUACAUGUGUCACAAUGCAACUUAAUGGUUUAGCAUAUUCACAUGAUAUUAAUUAAGGGGGUGAGUUCCAGUUAACUAUUCAACCAAGUGAAGCCUGGUUCACAUAUACCUGCUGUUUGUUGAUGGGCUAUUGUCGUUAAAAGUUCAACUAAAUAAUUCACAAAAGAAUGUAUGCAUCAACAGCUGUAAACAAUGAUAAUGCAGGCAUAUGUAAACCAGGCUUAAGGCCCUGUUCACAUGAACCCGGGACAGCGUUAUGUCUCGGGGCAAGCAAUUGUCGCGGGACAAAAAUUGUCUCGGCUCCUUAAUAAAAGAAUAGUGCUGUUCACAUGAUAUUUUACUUGCCCCGGGACAAGAAUUGACCCGAGUGCCUCGCCUCUGUAGAAAUGGACACUCGCCUAGCCGGGACAACUUUUCCUCAUGUGAACACUUUGCCCCGUGGCAACUUUGUCCUGGGAUAAUUACAUUUUUUGUAAAACGAUCAAAAUCGCGGCUAAAAUUACAUUUAGAGCACGUUGGACUCCACAAAAACUUGUUAUUUGAUUGAAGAUACCAUUAGAAAUCUAUAAGUGAUGAUUCUAAUAAUAUUAAAAUAAAAUUGUCGCUAAUAUCAUGUUUGAAACCAAGAAGUGUAGC